rnacentral:rRNA from 1 species
UACGAAAGGAGCAGGUGUUAUUCAGAUUAACUGGGCGUAAAGGGCACGUAGGUGGUUGGUUAUGUGUACUAUAAAAUUGUAAAGCACAACUUUAUAAGUGUAGUAUAAACAAUUAAACUAGAGUUAGGUAGAGGGUAAUAGAAUUUCUAAUGUAAAGGUGAAAUUUGAUGAAAUUAGAGAGAAUACCAAUGGCGUAGGCAAUUACCUGGGCCUUAACUGACACUGAGGUGCGAAGGUAUGGGGAGCGAAUAGG